GUGCUCACUUUGGCAGCACAUAUACUAACAUCAGGAUGAAACAAAGAAGAUUAGCAAGGCCCCUGCACAAGGACGACAUGCAAAUUCAUGAAGCGUUCCAUAGUUUU